UGGGGGUGGUGGUGGGGAGCGAUGGUAGCACGUAAUUUAUUUUUUUAAUGCAUAUCAACACAUGCCUUUAAAAGGUUACAUAUAAGCAGCAAUAUCCCUGCUUUAUCAAAUACAAACAAGGAAAUUAUCUUUUUUUACUUACAUCUACUUUUCUUCUGACAUUUCGUGUUACGGAUAUGGCUUGCUUCAGGAGCUUGUCUAUUGAUACGUUCUCGAAUCAAGUACACCUGUUAGGUAUUUUCGCCAUCAAGAAACUUGCAAAGAAAAGUCCGGAGAUCAGCGGGAGACACAUUUAUGCUUUUAAUUUACUUUUUAUAAGACAUGACAUAGCGAUCGUGAAAUGAGCCCAAGUUUACAAAGUUUUAAAUUUUACGGAAUAUUAUAGGAAGGCUUCAGAUGUACCUUUAUGCUAAGGAGCUGAUUCUCCCCAUUGUUCUAUGACGGCUGUUUCUACAGACCUCCUUCAUUUAGGUUUACAGAUGUGUGAUCGGUGUUGUCUCCCCAACUUCUCUUGCCACAGAAGGACAAGAUGUACGAUGCGUUCACCAGCUUCAAGAGGACGCUGUGUGACGAGUACAGAAGCAUGGUCAACACACUGUGCACAGGGGACACCCCAACGACGCAACCAAUCGAGAUUCCACAGGCCUGUAAAGUAGCUCUCUCCUAGGGACAGCGCCAUACCGUACUGAAACUGCAACGACCGUUGAUCAUCUUGUUGAGCAUCUAAACAAAACGACUUUCCUUUUUUUUUUCUUUUUUUUUUUUUUGCCUGGACUUUUCACGCCGCCAGCGGGACCAGUGUCAACGACCAUUUUUGGACCGAACUCGGACAUCAUCGCACGAUUUCUUUUCUACGUAUACGUUGCUUUCUUUGUGUGUGCGUGUGUUUUCUUUUUCCUUUGCGAAUGCUAUGCACUCGCACAACGUGACUAUAGUUCAUUUAUUCUAUUUUCCAGUCGCACACUUUCAAAGAAGAACACUGUGCACAUUGUAUGAGAGAGCUUUAAAUGUUACAGGCCUUUCUCCAGCUGACAUUCCUGACUGCAUCAAACGCACAAUAUGAUCACUAAAUAUAGACGCGAAACAGCAUCACUACCUUUUGUAAAAAGGGUUUCAAAGCACUCCGUGAACAUCUCUCUCCUACUCACAUAUCAGAACCUCAAUCAACAGUGCAGAGCGAGCUGUGUUACAAACUGUCUUUACAUUGAAAAACGAAUUAUUACAUGUUUCGAGCAUUAUUCUUAAGCACAAGAAAUGGCGUAUUUAAUAUUAAAAGUAUACAAUCUCCAUUAUAUAUUUACAUGUAAAACACGAACAGGUGCACAUGAAACCGUUUCAACGGAGAUGCAGCUAUGCUUACAUCAAACACGUGUAUUACGUUGUGGCAGUGACUUAACAUGUGUCGGUCUACCUGUCAAUAGCCAUGUGAAUACGUGUAGCUCCUGUGAUGUGAUGAGACUUUUGAAGGACCGGUACGCGCAUAGAUCCACAUUUGCCGGCAAUAUGGCUUUCUGUGCGCGUGCAGUUCCUUCGGCUAGUGUUCGAACUGUUCACGAUUGAGUGUGUCUGACUGCGUACUCGGCUUUUUGAAGCUAUACUAUCAGCAAAGCAAUAUUGCUUUUCAGCAAACGAUGUACUGUAGCCGCUUCUGUUACAAGGGUGAUCUCAAUGUAUACGUUACGGGCCUCUCAAUUCCAAUAUUCUUGUUUAUGUUUGACAUCUUGGCAGCGUUGCCUGUUGGUUAGCAGAGUCCAUGUAGCAGUGACAAUUCUGCCAUCUUAAAAUGAGACACCGUCCUGGUAAUCCUGAUUAUCAUUAUGAAGCCACGUGCAUCAAUUACAUUAUAAGCUAUUCUUUAUUUUUCAGCUCGUGUGAAUGUGAACUGUUGGAACGCACCAGUUUCUACAAAUGCACUGUUUUCAGGCCUCACACCUCCUGUGGGCUCACUCUCUUAAUUGUUAGUGGUAAUCGUUUUCUGUGCUUUUCAAAGUAGCUACAAUUUCUCACAAUGUGCUGGCACAGCUUUAAGAUGACGGCAGUACUACUGAACAACACACGUGCCUGUACAUACUUUGCACAGGCUGCAAAAAAUUGUGCGCGCAGGAGCAAGUCCGGAGUUGCAAGUGACAAGUUUUUGGUGUUUAAGUUGUGGUUAGGAGGCUACGUACAAAAAUUUCAUGCACAUGAUUUGUACUGACUGGAAGGUGUGUUGUCAGUAGCUGUGAACGUACUCAAAGUAGCCUUUUACAGCUCUUCGUUUUAGCUGUCAUUCUACUGUUUUACUAUUUUUAAAGUAGACCUUGAUGCAACCCUAUCUGUAUCGAAGAGAACUUUGCGUAUUGAACAAAUGUUAUGAACAAAAAUAUCGAACAUGUGCCCAAUAAAACUGUAGCACGCGAAGUGUGAUUGGAAGAAUGAAUAAAAAUGUUUUACCCUCCUUUU